AAACGGAGGGUGCAAGCGUUGUUCGGAAUCACUGGGCGUAAAGGGCGCGCAGGCGGGUUGGUAAGUCAGAUGUGAAAGCCCACGGCGCAACCGUGGAAGUGCAUUUGAAACUGUCAGACUUGAGUACUAGAGGGGAAAGUGGAAUUCCCGGUGUAGAGGUGAAAUUCGUAGAUAUCGGGAGGAAUACCGGUGGCGAAGGCGACUUUCUGGCUAGAUACUGACGCUGAGGCGCGAAAGCGUGGGGAGCAAACAGGAUUAGAAACCCCAGUAGUCC
rnacentral:rRNA from 1 species